GGGUUGUGAGGUUAAGCGACUAAGCGUACACGGUGGAUGCCCUGGCAGUCAGAGGCGAUGAAGGGCGUGCUAAUCUGCGAUAAGCGCCGGUAAGGUGAUAUGAACCGUUAUAACCGGCGAUACCCGAAUGGGGAAACCCAGUGUGAUUCGUCACACUAUCAUUAACUGAAUCCAUAGGUUAAUGAGGCGAACCGGGGGAACUGAAACAUCUAAGUACCCCGAGGAAAAGAAAUCAACCGAGAUUCCCCCAGUAGCGGCGAGCGAACGGGGAGGAGCCCAGAGCCUGAAUCAGCAUGUGUGUUAGUGGAAGCGUCUGGAAAGGCGCGCGAUACAGGGUGACAGCCCCGUACACAAAAGCGCAUGUGCUGUGAGCUCGAUGAGUAGGGCGGGACACGUGGUAUCCUGUCUGAAUAUGGGGGGACCAUCCUCCAAGGCUAAAUACUCCUGACUGACCGAUAGUGAACCAGUACCGUGAGGGAAAGGCGAAAAGAACCCCGGCGAGGGGAGUGAAAAAGAACCUGAAACCGUGUACGUACAAGCAGUGGGAGCACAGGUUUACCUGUGUGACUGCGUACCUUUUGUAUAAUGGGUCAGCGACUUAUAUUCUGUAGCAAGGUUAACCGUAUAGGGGAGCCGGAGGGAAACCGAGUCUUAACCGGGCGUUAAGUUGCAGGGUAUAGACCCGAAACCCGGUGAUCUAGCCAUGGGCAGGUUGAAGGUUGGGUAACACUAACUGGAGGACCGAACCGACUAAUGUUGAAAAAUUAGCGGAUGACCUGUGGCUGGGGGUGAAAGGCCAAUCAAACCGGGAGAUAGCUGGUUCUCCCCGAAAGCUAUUUAGGUAGCGCCUCGUGAAUUCAUCUCCGGGGGUAGAGCACUGUUUCGGCUAGGGGGCCAUCCCGGCUUACCAACCCGAUGCAAACUGCGAAUACCGGAGAAUGUUAUCACGGGAGACACACGGCGGGUGCUAACGUCCGUCGUGAAGAGGGAAACAACCCAGACCGCCAGCUAAGGUCCCAAAGUCAUGGUUAAGUGGGAAACGAUGUGGGAAGGCCCAGACAGCCAGGAUGUUGGCUUAGAAGCAGCCAUCAUUUAAAGAAAGCGUAAUAGCUCACUGGUCGAGUCGGCCUGCGCGGAAGAUGUAACGGGGCUAAACCAUGCACCGAAGCUGCGGCAGCGAACGUAUCAC
rnacentral:rRNA from 1 species